GGCCUUAGCCUAGCGGUUAGGACGUGGGAUCCCGAAGAUGCCGAAUAUUUCCCAUAACCCCAGUUCAAAUCCGGGAGGUACCU